rnacentral:lncRNA from 1 species
UCUCCUUCUCCAUUUCUGCACAUUAGAGGUAAUUUUACAUCUGUAACAAUGUUGUCUAGUUGAUAUUUAGAAAUGGCUAUUUCCUUUGAUGUUUAUUGAAUAUGUAUCUGUGAUCUGUACUACAUCUGGUCACAAAAUUCAUGCAAUGUACAUACAAGUGACAGGACGAUCAGACUGGUACAAACAAAAGAAAUGACAUGCUAUCUGAUCUUGCAGGAACAAAACUGCACUUUAUUAUUGCUAGUUUAGCUGAACCUUUUUCUAUCAAUCUGCCCUGUUUUCAGACAAGACAAGAAACAACCCUAUUCUCUGCAGCAGUAAAACAAUCUACAGGAACACAUAUUAGCUUGUUGUUGGCGCCAUUUCAGUUUCCUCCCAGAACUAAGUGCCUCUGCCAUUGCAGGUCCUCCAGGAAGGAGCCGAAGAAGAAGGCAGUGCAGUGCGGUUGCCGAAACGCAUGUUGUGCUGCUGCUGCUGGCCGUGCCUCUUAGUUUGUGAUGAUUACCCAGACGGCGUAGAUGAUCCCCGGCAGGUAGCCAAAGAAGGAGAGCAGGAGGCAGAUCCAGAACUCUUUCUGUUACACAUAUUAACGCGUCGUCGUCGUCAAUGCAGGAUUUUGCAGAGAAUUGCAGAGGCGGUCGGUGGCGAUGAUUGGGUACUACACCUCGCAGCCGACCUUGAGGAAGACGCCGAGGGGAGGCAGGAUGAUGGCGAUGACGAGG